ACUGCCUCAGCAGCUGCGGAGAGAGGAUGCUGCGAAUAUAGAAAGCUGUCGCUGAGACGGGGGAGAAACCAAGCGCUCAAAAUUAAACUGCGCCUUUAGAGAGGGGAAUCGCAAGAAUCAAUGGAAACACAGGUGGUGAACCUCGUCGCCUGCUUUAGUAGUGGACAGAAGAAAAACAAUUCUGAUCAUCUGAACUUUGUGUGGUAGAUGAUAGUCUGUAGCCAUCUGUGAACAUGUGGUUUGGACUAGAAGCCUGGAGGAUGAAGACUGCAAAUAACACAGAAGAUGAAAAGAGCUGGAAGUGGAGGGACUUGGCUGCAGUUCUGGUGAUGCUGUAGCAGCACGGAAUGGUUUGUGGGUUACACUGAGAUGCAGGCCAUACUGUGCUGCCGCAGUAAUGCCUGAAUAUACAACCUGGCUGUCACUUUGCGCUUCUUCAACAUGUUGAAGCUGACUUGUUGGCUAUCACUCUUGGAUGUAGCCUAGACCUUCUAAAGUAAUGCCACGUAGACAAUUGUUGGGCUGAUUUUGCCUUUCUCCUUUGCUGGUCGCCUUACUGUAGCAGCACGUAAAUAUUGGAGUUAAGACUAGCUGAAGCCUCCAGUAUUGAUCGUGCUGCUGAAGCAAAGCUGACCACUCACAAUCAGCGCAACCAACCACUACUCAGACCACCCGGUCGUGCCAAACUGACUGACAGCGAGUGAGUUCUUGAGAGACACAGAAUUUAUCCACAAAGAAGAAAUCAUGCACAAGAUGGCCUGCGUGACCUCGCUGCAGCUCCUGGGGUGUUAGCCUGUUCACGAGCCGAAAGACUGGCUGCGGAUUACAAAUAUUGGACUGUAGUGUACACACCAUUUAAAUAUAUAACAAGUCAUUCAGUUUAUAAAGUCGAGAUAAAAUGAUAUAUUCUGAUGUUCGCAACAAUGCUGUAACAAAUGAAAUGGUGUCCUGUAACGUGGCUAAAAACCUCCAUUUUAAGACGUGUCGGAUGCGCACGUAACCGCCUUAUUACGUGCAUCUCUGUACCAGGACGUCCGAUGACCAAAAGCUCUAAUCCGAUUUACCUAAUAAUAAAAAUGACUAAAUUCAUAAUGUUUUACAGGCCUUUGAUAUAAUGUGGCAUUCGUUGGUAAAUCUGGCUUUUGUAAAAUUUUAGAUCACGGGCUUUAUGUGAACGUGUGCGGUACAAUAGAAAUGCUCCAAAUCGGAUCACAAACUAAUUACACUUCUCCACAAAAAAAGAAGUCGCACGAAUCAGACGUUGGUUUUAAUAAAAACGCAUGAAAUAAAUAAACCUGUGACCUAAUUAUAACGUUUUUCAUGGUGACCGUGGAUCUUUUUUAUUUUUUUGAUAACGUGUUAUAGGAUUUUUCUGCCCACUGAACAAACUCAUAUGUUGCAGCAGUUUUCUUCCAUUUGGCCUUGUAGGCCUUUUUGAUGAUAAUUCUGAAUACUCAUAUUUGUUUUCCAACUGCAAUAAAUAAAUCGGAAUUAGGGUAUUUGGCAAAAGUGAAAUUUAUGCAAAAUUAUAUUGGAGAAAAAAUAGAUAUGUGCGCAUUUUAGGAGUAGCCUACUACUGCAUUUAUUUAAUUUUUUUUUUUUAAUGGAGAAACAUUCAAAUCUAUUAGCCUAUAGCCUGUAUUUAAAAGAUUACAGGCGUUUAUAUGAUACUUCUGUUUUUAUAUAUGCCUAUAUAAUGUCAGUGCUUCAAGAUGGAACUUUGUGUGUGUGUGUGUGUGUGAGUGUGAGAGAAUGUGAAUUUUAACCACGUCAACGUAAUUCAAAAGCAUUUAUUUUGUAAAUGAUGUUACCCUUUAUUAAGGGCAGUUAACCGAUUUAAAAUGUAAUGUCUUAUGUCUGACUAUUUUGCGUCUUUAGAACAGCGCAUCAAAAUGUGGAAGCCGCCUUGAUGAUGUACGGCGUGAAAUUCCACAUUUUGUCUUACACCUGUUACUGCUGUUGUGACUUUUUAAACCUUUACCUGCUUUCAUAUCGGCCGUCCAUAUUUUAACUAGCCUACUUGUAUUAUUGUAGAAUAACACGUCUGUUUUGUUUUCGCUUGUACUUAAUUUGCAACCACCUUUUCCAGAAAAAGUGAAAAAUUAACUUCGGUGUAAAAUUAAUAUUCUAACAUUAGGAAAUAACCGCUAAAGAUGAUUUAAUCACCGGAGCAAUUAAAUAGGGGUUCACAUUAAUAGCCAUUAGACCCUCGGUGUAAAAGUGUGCGGGACCUUCUCCAGUGUGUAGCCUAUUUUGUGUAUCCAGAUACAUUAAAAGGCUAUUCACUUAUCAUCUGGGUAUUAAGUCCUGUUGAUUGAUCGAAUAGAUGAUGACUUGAAGUUUAUUUGUAUUAACCCUCACCGCAGGCCGAACUUUGAUGUAAAUGGCUGACCGUACGACCUUUUCAGAAGCCUUAGUGAUUCACAACAUUUUUUUUCUUAAUUUUAUUGGAGUUAACGUUUUUCAGGCUAUAUUUAAAUUUGCGUGCCGUGCAAUUCAAAUAUUAAUGUAGAGUGGUAGGCUACAUUUAUUUGGAUCCUAUCUUUGCCUGGCAACAGAAGGCUAUAUAUGUAUAUGCGUGACAUGACGUACAUCCUGAAUUAUGGUCAGUGCUGACAUCACGGAUUCACUUUGUGGUCUGACUUUAGGAUUAUUAUUUUAAUUUUCUUUUCAAAAUGCAGCUCUACUCCGAAAAUAAACAAAUAGGCUAAAUGAUCAAUGCACAAUUCACUGCUUGUCUUUUUGCUCUGACCUAUUUUAAUAAAGACCUUUUUUGUGAGAAGACAAAAAUCUCACUGAGCUGCGCUGAUUUUAAAAUUAUUUGAAUAACAUCCAAUUGCCCACAUAAUUGCAUUUUUGAAUUCAGAUGUAUAUCAGAACAUAGACUGUAACUUAGCAGGCUUCAGAUGUUUGACUUUAUAGGCCGGACAAGUCAUGCAACGAAUGAGUCACAUGAACCUCCGCAAAUAGCCUAGAUCUUGUGUAGAAAUAAAAUGACUGCCCAGCACGCUUGACAAUCAUGUACCCUUACCUACGUUUUGUUAUCAGUAAUAGGGGAAAUACAGCUGUCAGUUUUAGGGUUUCGUGAAAACAUUCUAAUCAUGGACAGUGAGUUUUUUUUUAUUAUUUUCUUUUCCUCCUCCACCGU